AUGGUAUCGUCCACAUAUUUGGAGGUAGAAGAGACGUGUAUACAUAUUGCUAUUUAUUUUAUUAACAAUAUUUAGGGACAGAUUCAAACACAUGUGUAUUUGACUUUUAAGUCUGGCACCCCACCAACUGGACAAGUCACUGGCCGCUAGAUAGAGAGAGUUUCCUGUUUAUUUAUUUGGGACUGUAAUUUACAAUUCUUCGUUUAGUACAUAAAAUAAUGAAAGUUAGACAAUCUCGCUGAGUGGGUGUUGAUCUACAAACCGCACUUUUAGAGAUAAGAUUUGCUGGAGAGAGACUUAUGAUUCUGCCAAUCCUGAGUAUGGCAUGUAUAACAUGCGGUACGCUUCAAUUAACCCUUUCAAUUUAAUGGUUCAUGGGAUAUUCCUAGACACAGGAGACUAUGGGAAAUGACUGCUCACUAGCCAUCCCAUGACUGAGGGACACUUUGUUACACUACAUAUUAUUCCCAGUGAUUCUCAGCCUAAAACAGCAUAGACAAAGGGAUUUAACUCCUAAAUGGCAGAGAAUUGAGCAGCGAGGCUGCAGGGUCUAUACACUAAAACUGCUUCAUUAAGCUAAAGUUGUUUUGGUGGUUGGCAUCCCUUUAAUAGGAAUCUUCUGGGGUGCAAAGUAAUAAUUUAACCCCUUAACGACAAUCGUCACUCAGAGGAUUGCCAUAACGACGAGUCUGCCUCUGUAUUAGAGGCAGACCGGGAGCACCUGAUCUCGCUGCCUCAGCACAUGUGCUCGCUCUGACAGCAUGACAGCAUGUCAGAGCGAGCACAUGUGCUUAGUAUACUUACCUUC